rnacentral:rRNA from 13 species
UCAGAACGUCGCGAGACAGUUCGGUCCCUAUCUGCCGUGGGUGUAGGAGAAUUGAGAGGAUCUGUCCCUAGUACGAGAGGACCGGGAUGGACGUACCUCUGGUGGACCUGUUGUGGCGCCAGCCGCAUUGCAGGGUAGCUAUGUAUGGACGGGAUAACCGCUGAAUGCAUCUAAGCGGGAAACCCACCUCAAAACCAGGUUUCCCUUGAGAGCCGUUCUAGACUAGGACGUCGAUAGGCCAGGUGUGGAAGCGCUGCGAAGCGUGGAGCUUACUGGUACUAAUUGCUCGAUUGGCUUGAUC